rnacentral:rRNA from 1 species
UACGAAGGGGGCUAGCGUUGUUCGGAAUUACUGGGCGUAAAGGGCGCGUAGGCGGUGCAUCAAGUCAGGCGUGAAAGCCCCGGGCUCAACCUGGGAACCGCGCUUGAGACUGGUGCGCUCGAGUUCGGGAGAGGAUGGUGGAAUUCCCAGUGUAGAGGUGAAAUUCGUAGAUAUUGGGAAGAACACCGAUGGCGAAGGCAGCCAUCUGGACCGACACUGACGCUGAGGUGCGAAAGCGUGGGGAGCAAACAGG